ensembl:lncRNA
CAUCACUCCCCUCCGUCUACGUCCACCUGUCCCCCCCAUCACUCCCCUCCGUCUACGUCCACCUGUCUCCCCAUCACUCCCCUCCGUCUACGUCCACCUGUCUCCCCCAUCACUCCCUUCCAUCUACGUCCACCUGUCUCCCCCAUCACUCCCCUCCGUCUACUUCCACCUGUCUCCCCCAUCACUCAGAGGUCAUUCAGACCUAAACGCGUUUCUAGAUAAUUCUCUGCUCCACGUUCUCCUUUUUCUUCUCUGCUGCUGUUGUUUUUUUCCCUCCUGUUCGUUUUUAAACCUCCACCUUUCAGCCUUUCUUUUUCCAACCCCGUCUCCUCAGCGCCGCCGCUAUCUGCCUCCUCCCUCCUCGUUUCCUCCCUCCUUCACACCCUCGGGCACACGAUAAGGAACCAGCGGGAUUUAUGCUUCCUCUUCCCCUCUCCCUCCGGGAGAGAGCGCCGGACUCCCUCUGUGCGCCGGCCCGAUGGCGCCGCCUAGCGGAGAGCAAACACACGCCGGCGUUGUGUUAACACUUUGCACUUUGUGUAGAAGAUGGUGCGUACAUUUCCUUUCUUGCACAACGUCGAUCUGAUUACUGUGGAUUUUGAUCGUAUCACACAAUCUUUGUCUGGAGGUUUAAAAGUUCAGUUCUUACAUUUCCUCGAGCAAUUUAAGGAAAGGACUGAAAGAAGAGAAGUAAGAUAUCCUUCCAUUUUUUGAAGGAUAUCUUACUUCAAUUAGCAUAUAGUGUGUUGAUGCAUUUCUUACAGCUUUGUUGCGUUUAUCAAAGUACUAUUAAUGCUUUUUUAGGUGCUUUUCAACACAUUUUAGUGUCUUUUUAAGUCCGGUUCCAGUCACUAGUAAACUGUCAUUGCGAAAUCUUUUCAACUCUAAAACUGCACUCAAAUUCUAAAAAGUAAGACUCCAAAAAACAUGAAAUUCUUUUUCAAUUUCAUUUAUUAUUAUACAGCAAAACGCAGUAAAAGUACAUUUACAACACACAGAGAAAAACACACUUUGAAAUAAACACAACUCAACGUUAUAUAUUCAUAAACGCAGAGAAUCAAAGAUAAUUUACGUGCGUACAUGAAGCAUGUUGGAAAGGAAACACGCCAGUGCCACAGGGAUUAGUGCGAAGAAAAGACUGUAAUGUGUGUAAGUCCUGCAGGUGAGCUUGGGGUGAUGCGCUGCGCGUCAGCACCACGGAUAGCGGCGCUCUGCAGGGCCACAAUCCGGCUGGUUAACCAGGGUUCAGAUAAACACCAAACUCACAGGCAAAAGAACCUGUGUUGUUGUUGAGUUUAUUUGUUCGACGCGGGAGAAGCUGCUCUCAAUCAGCCUUCGUGCUGCUGGAAGCUCCUGCAGCUGAAGGAGAAGAAGAAGAAAAUCUCUCCUGGAGCUUAAGAUGACCUCAUCCAUUCCAUCACAAGGUCACGACCUCUUGUAUAACGUGUCAGACUUCCACUGUUCCUGUUCCAGGUCGGGGGGGUUCGACGGCGCUCAGCCCGUUAAAGCCGUUCCGUGUGCAAGAUGAGAGGAAGCGAGCUGGGAGAGGACCAGGACCAGGACCAGGAGACGACCAGGGGACGACCAGGGGAGGACCAGGAGACGACCAGGGGAGGACCAGGAGACCAGGGGAGGACCAGGUGACGACCAGGUGACGACCAGGAGACGACCAGGGGACGGAAACAUCUGAAGCAGGUUGCACCACCAUGUUUACGCUGAUGCAACAAACUUUUUAUGAAGUGAAUUGAACACAAAAUGUGCCGAUGGUUGAAGGAAGUAAUCUGAUAAACGUUCAUUAUUCUUAUUUUUUUUAACGAGAGCCGAUGACUCAAAUGUACACGUUGAAUCCAUAAUAAAAGUUAAUCCGUGCGCACAAAUGUAGCUCAUUUCCCAGAAAUCAGUUAGUCAGUUUUCCAGAUGUAUAACUGACUCGCUCUGUCCUG